CUUUUGCCUGAGGAGAAAGUCUCGGACACCUAGACCUGUCAGUUCAGCACUCACUUCCACUCUUUUCUUCGUGUUCCCUUUUUUCAGCAAGCUCAGGAGGGAGGUGAAGGUCGAGCAGAGGCUAAUGACGCUUCAACACAGAAUGUUCUAGAGAUCAGGAGCCUGUCAGCCUCUGAUUAUAACAGUGACGGCUGGACAAGCAGAGGAAACGCUUAUGGAGCAGAACAGAGGCUUUGGAGGUGUUUCCAGCAUGCGAUCAGUUAAAGAAGGAAGACCUUGAGUGAGUCGGUGGAGGACAGGAGCUGAGAGGGGCACGGGAGACGCAUGCAGCCGUUUGAUCAGAGCUAAUGCGCUGGAAGCAGCCGAGGAUGUUACCCUUACCGCACUAUUCCCAGGAGAGACGGCAAGCGAGUAGAAGAAAGAGGGAAUGAAGAUGUUCCCAGCGGACUCCUGCAGAGCAUACAUCACCUUCAUCCAUCAGGAAUCUCCCCUAUGAGUUAAUGCCGGCAGGGAACCAUCCUGACAGAAUCACAUCAGCUUGGUGGCACGGAGACCAACCUGAAAGUGGAAGCCAGUUAUGAGGGUCAGACAAAACACUUAAAACUUGAGAAAAGCUUUCAAACCUUGCAGUUCCACUAGAGUCUUUCAAAAUGUGCUGAACAUGAAUAUAGCACUCACAUGGCGAAUUAGUUGGUGGCUUUUACGCAAACCUGAAUUGCACUUAGGUCUAUUGAUUGAGGCUGUUAUUGUUAAAGACUGCUCAUAUUCACCGAUGAAAAGUGUGAACGCAUUUUUACUAAGUCUGUCAUGCAAACGGUCACAAGCAGUUACAUCUCUUUGUGUUUCUUAGCCUUGCAAUGUCAAAUGUAUAGUUAAUGCACAGAUUAUUGUAACUCUAUACAUUUUAUCUUAUAAUA